rnacentral:rRNA from 1 species
CGAGAUCUUCGGAUCUAGUGGCGCACGGGUGCGUAACGCGUGGGAAUCUACCCUUGGGUUCGGAAUAACAGCGAGAAAUUGCUGCUAAUACCGGAUGAUGACGUAAGUCCAAAGAUUUAUCGCCCAGGGAUGAGCCCGCGUAGGAUUAGGUAGUUGGUGUGGUAAAGGCGCACCAAGCCUACGAUCCUUAGCUGGUCUGAGAGGAUGAUCAGCCACACUGGGACUGAGACACGGCCCAGACUCCUACGGGAGGCAGCAGUGGGGAAUAUUGGACAAUGGGCGAAAGCCUGAUCCAGCAAUGCCGCGUGAGUGAUGAAGGCCUUAGGGUUGUAAAGCUCUUUUACCCGGGAUGAUAAUGACAGUACCGGGAGAAUAAGCUCCGGCUAACUCCGUGCCAGCAGCCGCGGUAAUACGGAGGGAGCUAGCGUUAUUCGGAAUUACUGGGCGUAAAGCGCACGUAGGCGGCUUUGUAAGUAAGAGGUGAAAGCCUGGUGCUCAACACCAGAACUGCCUUUUAGACUGCAUCGCUUGAAUCCAGGAGAGGUGAGUGGAAUUCCGAGUGUAGAGGUGAAAUUCGUAGAUAUUCGGAAGAACACCAGUGGCGAAGGCGGCUCACUGGACU